rnacentral:rRNA from 1 species
GUGUCAGCAGCCGCGGUAAUACGUAGGUGGCGAGCGUUGUCCGGAUUUACUGGGCGUAAAGGGCGCGCAGGCGGUUUGUUAAGUUCAGGGUGAAAGCUCCCGGCUCAACUGGGAGAGGUCCUUGGAUACUGGCAGACUUGAGGGAGGCAGAGGAAAGUGGAAUUCCCGGUGUAGUGGUGAUAUGCGUAGAUAUCGGGAGGAACACCAGUGGCGAAGGCGGCUUUCUGGGCCUUACCUGACGCUGAGGCGCGAAAGCGUGGGGAGCGAACCGGAUUAGAUACCCUGGUAGUCCACGCCGUAAACGAUGAAUGCCAGACGUCGGGCAGCAUGCUGUUCGGUGUCACACCUAACGGAUUAAGCAUUCCGCCUGGGGAGUACGGUCGCAAGAUUAAAACUUAAAGGAAUUGACGGGG